rnacentral:rRNA from 1 species
GACGAACGCUGGCGGCGUGCUUAACACAUGCAAGUCGAACGAUGAUGCCCAGCUUGCUGGGUGGAUUAGUGGCGAACGGGUGAGUAACACGUGAGUAACCUGCCCCUGACUCUGGGAUAAGCGUUGGAAACGACGUCUAAUACUGGAUAUGACUGCCGGCCGCAUGGUCUGGUGGUGGAAAGAUUUUUUGGUUGGGGAUGGACUCGCGGCCUAUCAGCUUGUUGGUGAGGUAAUGGCGCACCAAGGCGACGACGGGUAGCCGGCCUGAGAGGGUGACCGGCCACACUGGGACUGAGACACGGCCCAGACUCCUACGGGAGGCAGCAGUGGGGAAUAUUGCACAAUGGGCGAAAGCCUGAUGCAGCAACGCCGCGUGAGGGAUGACGGCAUUCGGGUUGUAAACCUCUUUUAGUAGGGAAGAAGCGAAAGUGACGGUACCUGCAGAAAAAGCACCGGCUAAUUACGUGCCAGCCGCCGCCGUAA